rnacentral:rRNA from 1 species
AACGCGAAGAACCUUACCUGGGCUUGACAUGUGGGUGACCGGUGUGGAAACACACUUUCCCUUCGGGGCACCUUCACAGGUGCUGCAUGGCUGUCGUCAGCUCGUGUCGUGAGAUGUUGGGUUAAGUCCCGCAACGAGCGCAACCCUUAUCCCUAGUUGCUAUCGGGUCAAGCCGGGCACUCUAGUGAAACCGCCCAGGAUAACUGGGAGGAAGGUGGGGAUGACGUCAAGUCCUCAUGGCCUUUAUGUCCAGGGCUACACACGUGCUACAAUGGUCGGUACAAACCGUCGCAAACUCGCGAGAGGGAGCUAAUCGGAAAAAGCCGGCCUCAGUUCGGAUUGGAGUCUGCAACCCGACUCCAUGAAGCUGGAAUCGCUAGUAAUCGCGGAUCAGAACGCCGCGGUGAAUACGUUCCCGGGCCUUGUACACACCGGCUAC